rnacentral:rRNA from 1 species
CUUGACACUGAACAUUGAGCCUUGAUGUGUAGGAUAGGUGGGAGGCUUUGAAGCGUGGACGCCAGUCUGCGUGGAGCCGACCUUGAAAUACCACCCUUUAAUGUUUGAUGUUCUAACGUGGACCCGUAAUCCGGGUUGCGGACAGUGUCUGGUGGGUAGUUUGACUGGGGCGGUCUCCUCCUAAAGAGUAACGGAGGAGCACGAAGGUUGGCUAAUCCUGGUCGGACAUCAGGAGGUUAGUGCAAUGGCAUAAGCCAGCUUGACUGCGAGCGUGACGGCGCGAGCAGGUGCGAAAGCAGGUCAUAGUGAUCCGGUGGUUCUGAAUGGAAGGGCCAUCGCUCAACGGAUAAAAGGUACUCCGGGGAUAACAGGCUGAUACCGCCCAAGAGUUCAUAUCGACGGCGGUGUUUGGCACCUCGAUGUCGGCUCAUCACAUCCUGGGGCUGAAGUAGGUCCCAAGGGUAUGGCUGUUCGCCAUUUAAAGUGGUACGCGAGCUGGGUUUAGAACGUCGUGAGACAGUUCGGUCCCUAUCUGCCGUGGGCGCUGGAGAACUGAGGGGGGCUGCUCCUAGUACGAGAGGACCGGAGUGGACGCAUCACUGGUGUUCGGGUUGUCAUGCCAAUGGCACUGCCCGGUAGCUAAAUGCGGAAGAGAUAAGUGCUGAAAGCAUCUAAGCACGAAACUUGCCCCGAGAUGAGUUCUCCCUGAGACUUAGAGUCUCCUGAAGGAACGUUGAAGACG